GACUACUGUUCUAUAAUAACACUGACCACCCCAAGGUAAGAGACUACAGCUCUAAUAACACUGACCACCCCAAGGUAAGAGACACAUGCUCUAACAACACUGACCACCCCAAGGUAAGAGACUAAAGCUCUAAUAACACUGACCACCCCAAGGUAAGAGACUACUGCUCUAAUAACACUGAUAACCCAAAGGUAAGACACUACUGCUCUAUAAUAACACUGACCAGAACAAGGUAAGAGACUACUGCCUAUAAUAACACUGACCAGAACAAGGUAAGAGACUACUGCCUAUAAUAACACUGACCACCCCAAGGUAAGAGACUACUGCUCUAUAAUAACACUGACCACCCCAAGGUAAGAGACUACUGCUCUAGUAACACUGACCACCCCAAGGUAAGAGACUACUGCUCUAGUAACACUGACCACCCCAAGGUAAGAGACUACUGCUCUAGUAACACUGACCACCCCAAGGUAAGAGACUACUGCUCUAGUAACACUGACCACCCCAAGGUAAGAGACUACUGUCUAGUAACACUGACCACCCCAAGGUAAGAGACUACUGCUCUAGUAACACUGACCACCCCAAGGUAAGAGACUACUGCUCUAGUAACACUGACCACCCCAAGGUAAGAGACUACUGCUCUAGUAACACUGACCACCCCAAGGUAAGAGACUACUGCUCAAUAACACUGACCACCCCAAGGUAAGAGACUACUGCUCUAGUAACACUGACCACCCCAAGGUAAGAGACUACUGCUCUAGUAACACUGACCACCCCAAGGUAAGAGACUACUGCUCUAGUAACACAGACCACCCCAAGGUAAGAGACUACUGCUCUAGUAACACUGACCACCCCAAGGUAAGAGACUACUGCUCUAUAAUAACACUGACCACCCCAAGGUAAGAGACUACUGCUCUAUAAUAACACUGACCACCCCAAGGUAAGAGACUACUGCUCUAGUAACACUGACCACCCCAAGGCAAGAGACUACUGCUCUAGUAACACUGACCACCCCAAGGUAAGAGACUACUGCUCUAGUAACACUGACCACCCCAAGGUAAGAGACUACUGCUCUAGUAACACUGACCACCCCAAGGUAAGAGACUACUGCUCUAGUAACACUGACCACCCCAAGGUAAGAGACUACUGCUCUAGUAACACUGACCACAGUGUAAGGAGUUCAAGGUGAGAUUUGAUCCUCCAGAUGUUUGGAGACUUAACAAAUGACAUAUUGCUUCAAAUCAUAUUUCCAUUCAUAGAUGUCAUUCCACGAGCACUGAAGAUAUAUCAUAGAAACCAAGUACUAUUUGCACAUGAACAUUUUAUAAAAAAUAAUACAAAUAAAGUUUGUCCAAGCUUGA